rnacentral:ncRNA from 1 species
GAAUAUAAGAACGUUUCGUAUAAUCUAAGGAAUUGGCUUUAGAGUCUCUACCAGACUACCGUAAAUAGUCUAACUACGUUACAAGUAA